CCAGUAUGCAUUAAUUAAAGAGCACCGUGGUUGUUUCUUUCUUUCUUUCUUUACACUAGCAGUGGCUAUGUCGUCGUCUUCUUCUUCUUCUCGUGUGUUUCCUAAGAAGUAUGAUGUUUUCAUUAGCUUCAGAAAUGAGGACACCGUAGGCGACUUCAUUAGUUAUCUUCGUGCUGCUCUGAGAGACAAGAAUAUCAUAACCUAUACAGAUGAUCGACGACAAAAAAGAGGAGAUGAUGUUGGAUCUGAACUUAAGAAAGCGAUCAAGGACUCGGUGAUGGCUGUUGUGGUGUUCUCAAAAAGAUACGCAACUUCAACAUGGUGUUUGCAAGAAAUGGUCCAAAUGAUGGAGUGCAGAAGAGAUGAGGGGCAGGUUGUUAUACCAGUGUUCUACAAAGCAUAUCAAACAGACGUAAGGCACCAGACAGGGAGUUACAAGGAACCGUUUGAAGAACAUUAUCGAGCUGCCAUGGAAGAUAAAAAGGAGCAAGACAAAGUGGAUAGUUGGAGAGAUGCUCUCACUCAAGCAGCCAACAUAUCUGGAUGGCACUACUUUAACCACGAGGACAAAUCUCGAGUCCUACAGAAUGUUGUUAAUGAUGUUUUGCAAAAGCUGCAGCUGAGGCACCCUAAAAAUCUAGAAGGCCUAGUUGGAAUUGAGGAACAAUGUAGAGCUAUUGAACGUUUUUUGGGAAAAGUUGGAAAAAUUGGAGUUUGGGGCAUGGCUGAAACAGGUAAGACAACCGUUGCUAAAGCCUUAUUUGCCAGACACUUCCCUCAAUAUGACAGUGUAUGCUUCUUGCAAAAUGUAAGAGAAGAAUCAGAAAAGCACGGACUACCACACGUCCGUAAAAAUCUUCUCUCUGAGCUGCUAAAGGAACAAGUUACAACCUCCAACUUUUUAUUUGGAUCCAUUGAGUGGAGGCUCAGUAGUAAAAAAAUUCUCAUUGUGCUUGAUGAUGUACAUGAGUAUGAGCAGUUAAAAUAUUUGUGUGAAGAACUUGGUGACUUGGGAGAAGGUAGUGCUCUCAUUGUAACCACAAGAGAAAAACAAGUGCUUAAUGGAAGAGUUGAUAAGAUAUAUGAGGCAAAAAAAUGGACUAUGUCGUUGUGUGUUGCUCCUAAGAAAUACGAUGUUUUCAUUAGCUUCAGAGGUGAGGACACUAGAGACAACUUCACUAGCUAUCUCCGUACGGCUCUGAGAGACAAAAAUAUCAUAACCUAUACAGAUGAUCGACUAAAGAAAGGAGAUAAUGUUGGAUCAGAACUAGAGAAAGCAAUCAAGGACUCCAUGAUGGCGGUUGUAGUGUUCUCAGAAAGAUACGCAACUUCAAAAUGGUGUUUGCAAGAAGUGGUCCAAAUAAUGGACUGCAGAAGAGAUGAGGGACAGGUUGUUAUACCAGUGUUCUACAAAACAAAUCCUACAGACGUACGACAUCAGACAGGGAGUUACCAGAAACCAUUUGAAGAAUAUUAUCGAGCAGCCAGGAAAGAUAAAAAGGAGCAAGACAAAGUGGAUAGUUGGAAAGAUGCUCUCACUCAAGCAGCCAACAUAUCUGGAUGGGACUCAAGUAAUCACAAGGACGAUUCUCAAGUCCUACGGAACGUUGUUAACGAUGUUUUGCAAAAGCUGCAGCUGAGGUAUCCUAAAAAUCUAGAAGGCCUAGUUGGAAUUGACGAACAAUGUAAAGCUAUUGAAUGUUUUUUGGGAAAACAUGGAAGAAUUGGAGUUUGGGGCAUGGGGGGAACAGGUAAGACAACCAUAGCUAAAGCCUUAUUUGCCAAACACUUCCCUCAAUAUGAUAGUGUAUGCUUCUUGCAAAAUGUAAGAGAAGAAACAGAAAAGCACGGACUACCACACGUCCGUAAAAAUCUUCUAUCUGAGCUGCUAAAGGAACAAGUUACAACCUCAUACAUUUUUGGAUCCAUUGAGUGGAGGCUCAAAAGUAAAAAAGUUCUCAUCGUGCUUGAUGAUGUACAUGAGUCUGAGCAAUUAAAAUUUCUGUGUGAAGAACUUGGUGACUUGGGAGAAGGUAGUGCUGUCAUUGUAACCACAAGAGAAAAACAAGUGCUUAAUGGAAGAGUUGAUGAGAUAUAUGAGGCCAAGACAUGGGGCUUUGAAAAAUCUCUUGAGUUCUUUUGCUUAGAAGCUUUCAAGAAAAGGGAGCCAGAAAAGGGUUAUGAGGAUCUGUCACAAAGGGCAGUUACAUAUGCAGGAGGCGUUGCGUUGGCUUUAGAAGUUUUGGGUGCACACUUUCGUUCCAAAGGAACUAAAUUCUGGGAAUCUGAAUUGAGUCACUUGGAGAGCAGAAAAGAACCCUUAAAGAAAGUUCAACAGCUUUUACUAGUGAGCUAUCAUGCAUUGUCAGGGCGAGAGCAGGCAAUACUCCUAGACAUUGCUUCCUUUCUCAAAGACGAAAAUAGAGAUUCUGUCAUAAGUAUACUAGAUGCAUGUGGUUUCAAUGCUACUAGUGGAAUGGAAAUACUUAAAGAUAAAGCUCUUAUAAGUACAUCAAAGACCAAUACUAUACACAUGCACGACUUGCUACAAGACAUGGCUUUGGAUAUAGUUCGAAAUGAUGUAAGAGGCAGCCGAUUGAGGGAUAUUGAACAAGUUUGUGAUGUGCUUCAAUAUGAUGACAAGGGAAUUCGUCAUGUUGAAGGAAUAGCAUUGGAUUUGUCUCAGGAAGUAGAUUUGCAACUGAGUGAUGACAUAUUCAACAGGAUGCCUAAAUUGAGAAUUUUUAGAUUAUAUGUCCCAGCUGGUAAGCAGAGAAUAGCUAAUGUUAUUUACAAUCCCAGACUCCUCCAUAACCACAGGCCAGGUUCUGCUGUAAGGUACUUUGAGUGGAACGGAUACCCUUCCAAGUCUCUUCCACCAAAUUUUUCUGCUAAGCUUCUUGUUGCGAUUCGCAUGCCACAGAGUGAUGUUGAAGAACUUUGGGAGGGGACGCAGGAGCUUAAGAAUUUAGAGAUAAUUGACCUAAGUGAAUGCAAGCAGUUGGUGAAGCUCCCUGAUUUGUCUAAAGCAUCCAAACUCCAAUGGGUAUAUCUCUCAGGAUGUGAAAGUUUGUGUGUUGUUCAUCCAUCGCUUUUAUCUUUGGAUACACUAGUUACUUUGAUACUGGAUAGGUGCGAAAAACUCAAGAGUCUUUUAAGUGAAAAGCAUUUAAACCACCUGGAGGACCUCAAUGUGAAUGAUUGUUCAAGUCUCGAGGAAUUUGCAGUGUCCUCUGAUUCAAUUGAAAGGUUGGAUCUAAGCAAGAUUGGAGUUAAAAAAUUGUACUCAUCAAUAGGUCGUCUAAGCAAGCUUGUGUGGCUCAAUAUAGAUGGUUCAAGGCUGGAGAGUCUUCCUGAUGAGUUAUCACACCUGCCAUCUCUAAAGGAGCUAAGGAUUUCUAACUGCGUACUAAUUGACAAAGAGAAGCUACAUGUCCUGUGUGCUGGCUUAGGAACCUUAAAAUUACUACAUCUGAAGGAAUGUUAUGAGUUGUUUGAACUCCCAGACAACAUCAGUGCCUUGUCAUCAUUGCGAGAAUUACGGCUCGAUGGAAGCAGUGUGGAGAAGUUGCCUACAAGUAUCAAGCUUCUUGAAAAGCUUGAGAUUCUCUCGUUGGAUAAUUGUAGGACACUCAAGUUUAUACCUGAGCUUCCAUUGUUUAUUGUAGAGCUUCACGCUGUCAACUGUACCGCAUUGGUGACGGUAUCCACUUUAAAGACUCUUUCAGUGAAGAUGAUAGGAAAGGAGAAACACAUAUCAUUUAUGAAUGCAAUGAAGCUGAAUGAAUGUUCCCUCCGGGUUAUUGAGGAUAUUUUGUUCACAAUGAAGAGUGCUGAGAUGCAAAAUAUAUAUGUAAACAAGUUCAGAUUGGAUGUCAACAGUUACAAUCCAAAUAGUGUUGCGGUUUGCUUACCAGGAAGCAAUGUUCCCUCAGGCUCAGGCUUGGGGCAAGGGUCUUUCGCAUAUCGAAGCACAGGGUCCUCAAUUAUCAUUGAGCCUCAUGACAGAAGUUUGUCCCGCUGGCUAGGCACCAUUUAUUCUGUGGUUCUUUCUCCAUCACUUGGAUUGACAUUAAGUGGUGCUAAAAUCCAAUGCCGAAUAUACGGGAAAGACAAAGAUGAGGAAUGCAAGACCACAUGGUAUGGCAAAGACAUCGGGGAAUUCGAUUCGGAUCAUGUUUUUGUAUGGCAUGGUUCAAGUGUCGAUGAUGCACAAGUUUUUGAGUUCUUUGUUACAAUAGAUGGAGGGGUAAACAUUAUUGACCAGAUCAAACUAAAAGAGUGUGGGAUUCACCUGAUGUGUUACUCAAAUUCUGAGCUUCAGAGUUUCUUAGGUGAAGCACCGGAAUUGGAACCGGAGAUCAAGUCGGAGUUGAGUAAGAAGUUGCAAAUGUCGUUGAACUUGCAGCAGGAUGAUAAUAAGAAAGCGGUUAACGAAUUGCCUUCAAUGGUGGAUCCAUCUGCUAGCUAUAGCAGCAGUUUGGAGGAAGCUGAAUUAUGGAAUAGUGAGGAAGCGGCAGCUGCUUCAUGGCGUGAAUGGCAGGAUGAUCCAUAUCUGAGUAAUUGGAGGGAUUGAACAUGGUGGAUGAUUGGAAUCACGACCCCGAUCAGUUUCAGCAUUCUUGCUUUCACACUUAGCAGAAAAGACUUCCUUGCUUUGGUGCGUGCUUGAAAUUGGUUGAAUGGUUUUGUUUGUGAAGGCACAAAGCUUGGAAGAGACAGGCCCCGAUAUUUCAUUUGGUUUGGUUAGUUCCGGUUUCGUCAAAUGUAAGAGCUUUUAUUUGGCGAUUGCUGCGGGAUAGGCUCCAAACAAAGGAUAAUAAGAGGCGUAUUAUAGUGAGCGGGGAUGAAUCCUUAUGCCCCUUUGUGGGUUGGAGAAGGAGUCUACCAAUCACUUAUUUCUUCUUUGCGCUGCAACUCUGAUUGUCUUGGAGUGGUGUCUUCACUGUUGCCUACACCGAGGGAUCAUUUGAUGCAAUUCUCUGUCAUUGGUACAAACAAAGCUCAGCGAGCAGGGGAGUAUGCUAUUUGGAUGGCAAUUCUGUGGACCGUUUGGCUAGCUCGAAACAAAGCGAUCUUCAAUGGGGCAGAAUUUGACAGUAAUCAGAUCUUGGAAUUGGCUCAGCUAAAAGCAUGGAAGUGGCUAAAAGCAAAAGUUGACGGAUUCAACUACUCAUGGUUUGAAUGACAACAGAAUCCGGGCAUGUGUAUUUUGUCAUUAUGAGGAUGAGAAGGGCGAUUCGGGUUUCCCUACGGAUUCAGUGGUGCUAUCGUGAUGAACACUGAUUUGGAACAGCUAAAGCAUUUUAAUGACAGCAUGCGUUUGGGAGGCACAAUUGGGUGGUGGUGUAUUAUACCAGUCAAGGGUAUUAUUUUUAUGUUCCAUGGAGCAUGUGUAAUCAUCAUCAUCAUGGAGUUUGGCUCUAUGGGAAACACAUAUUUCUUGUCUGCGCAUGAUUCUUACUGGGUAUUGGGGUCAUUGAGAUAGAUUAUUAUAUGGUUGUAAUAUGGCCAUUAUGUCUCAGUAUGUUUUUCAGGGGGUCUCUCCUUGGAAGUGUUGCCUUGAGGGCUCAAAAUAUGUAUCUUACAUUGUUUUUUUCUUUCUCUUUUCCUAUCUUUUUUAUUGGGUUGAAGUACCCUUGUACUUCAUUUCAAUAUA